UCUAGCCAGGAUACUACCACCACCACAGGAUCUUUUCAAUACCACUCAUGUUACAGCAAGAAGAUAGAAGAAAUAAAAUAGGAAACACACAAUCAGAUAUGUGGAACAGCCCAAGUACUACCUCCACGGGGCAUGCAAGCUUUACUAAAAGAAAAAAAUAAUACAAGAGGAGAACACCUACUCUAAACUCUCUAUAUACACACCUCUCUCAAUUAGAAGCUACCCUUACAAAAGCUCUCUCAAAAAUUCCCCUA
rnacentral:lncRNA from 1 species